rnacentral:lncRNA from 1 species
UUUUCUUUCCUGGGCAAAGCUGACCUGGGUUUGCCUAUUCUCAGCCCUGCGUAAAUCACCGCACUGCACCGAGGGGCUGCCAGGAGGUACGAUUUCAGGAUGUUCCCAUUGGUCAGACCCACUAAUGGGAAGCACUUCUGCCCAUGGUUAAGACCUUACUGGAAGGGUUGCUACAGAAGCUAUGACAGGAAAGCCGAAAGCGUUUUUGCUGCGCUGACUUUUCUCUGAUAUAUGGGAGUGAUGUGACGUAUAUUACUCGAUCUGAAAAGGAGAAACAUUCAAAGUCCAUGAAGCAAAUAAUAAAUUUAUGG